UAAUUUCAACUAUAUUGAAACUGUUGUAAUAUACAAAAUAGGUACUUAGCAUAUCUAAAUCUUAUCAAACUCUUGAAUUAAAAAGAAAAAAAAAAAUCUAUACCCACAUUUUUAUCCAUUGGCAAAAGGUGUGAAGAAUACAAUUAAAUGAUCUUUAUCUACAGAAACAAACUAUAAGGAAAGCUUUUACCUGCAAAAGAACAGCCAUAUAUAGGAAAAGUUUUAGCUAUAGAAACAAAUAUGUAGGUUAAAAUUUUUAGCUAUAGAAAAUGAAUUAUAGGCAAUUCUUUUACUUACAGAAGAACAAACUGUAGGUAAAUCCCACAUACUUACACCAGCAUAUGAAAAUCCAUAGCUAGAACCCUAUAGUGAUGCUGCUGCUACCGAUGAAUACAUCAAUCAUCUGUAUAGCCCUUUUUUGACUACUAUGG
rnacentral:lncRNA from 1 species